CGGGAAGCCUGCUUCGAGAUGAGGACUCCCACCCACUUGAUGGGGUAAGGCUCCCAGUAGACGACUGGGUUGAUAGGCCGGAUCUGGAAGCCAGGUAACUGGUGGAGGUGACCGGUACUAAUAGGCCGAGGGCUUGUCCUC
rnacentral:rRNA from 1 species